UACGGAGGGUGCGAGCGUUGUCCGGAAUCACUGGGCGUAAAGGGCGCGUAGGUGGCCUGUGGAAGUCUGCGGUGAAAGCCCGGCGCUCAACGCCGGGUCGGCCGUGGAUACUCUCGGGCUCGAGCUUACUAGAGGCAGAUGGAAUUCCGGGUGUAGCGGUGGAAUGCGUAGAGAUCCGGAAGAACACCGGUGGCGAAGGCGGUCUGCUGGGGUAAUGCUGACACUGAUGCGCGACAGCGGUGGGGAG
rnacentral:rRNA from 1 species